rnacentral:rRNA from 1 species
CACCUACGGGAGGCAGCAGUAGGGAAUCUUCCACAAUGGACGAAAGUCUGAUGGAGCAACGCCGCGUGAGUGAAGAAGGGUUUCGGCUCGUAAAGCUCUGGUGGGAGUGGAGAAAGAUAGAGGGAGGAACUGGCCUUUAUUUGACGGUUAUUACUUAGAAAGUCACGGCUAACUACGUGCCAGCAGCCGCGGUAAUACGUAGGUGGCAAGCGUUGUCCGGAUUUAUUGGGCGUAAAGAGAGUGCAGGCGGU